GAUGAACGCUAGCGGCAGGCCUAACACAUGCAAGUCGAGGGGUAUAAUCUAGCUUGCUAGAUUAGAGACCGGCGCACGGGUGCGUAACGCGUAUGCAAUCUGCCUUGUACAAAGGGAUAGCCCAGAGAAAUUUGGAUUAAUACCUUAUAGUAUGUAAGAGUGGCAUCACUUUUAUAUUAAAGAUUUAUCGGUACAAGAUGAGCAUGCGUCCCAUUAGCUAGUUGGUAUGGUAACGGCAUACCAAGGCAACGAUGGGUAGGGGUCCUGAGAGGGAGAUCCCCCACACUGGUACUGAGACACGGACCAGACUCCUACGGGAGGCAGCAGUGAGGAAUAUUGGUCAAUGGAGGCAACUCUGAACCAGCCAUGCCGCGUGCAGGAUGACGGUCCUAUGGAUUGUAAACUGCUUUUAUACAGGAAGAAACCCUAUCACGUGUGAUAGAUUGACGGUACUGUAAGAAUAAGGAUCGGCUAACUCCG
rnacentral:rRNA from 1 species